rnacentral:rRNA from 1 species
GAUGAACGCUGGCGGCGUGCCUAAUACAUGCAAGUCGAGCGAACAGACGAGGAGCUUGCUCCUCUGACGUUAGCGGCGGACGGGUGAGUAACACGUGGAUAACCUACCUAUAAGACUGGGAUAAAUUCGGGAAACCGGAGCUAAUACCGGAUAAUAUAUUGAACCGCAUGGUUCAGUAGUGAAAGACGGUUUUGCUGUCACUUAUAGAUGGAUCCGCGCCGCAUUAGCUAGUUGGUAAGGUAACGGCUUACCAAGGCGACGAUGCGUAGCCGACCUGAGAGGGUGAUCGGCCACACUGGAACUGAGACACGGUCCAGACUCCUACGGGAGGCAGCAGUAGGGAAUCUUCCGCAAUGGGCGAAAGCCUGACGGAGCAACGCCGCGUGAGUGAUGAAGGUCUUCGGAUCGUAAAACUCUGUUAUUAGGGAAGAACAAAUGUGUAAGUAACUAUGCACGUCUUGACGGUACCUAAUCAGAAAGCCACGGCUAACUACGUG